AAUGAGACUUCCGCGCCAGCGGCCUGCCGGGAGGCAGGAUAUGGUCGCGCAGGCUGAAAGCUAGGCCUGUGGUGCCAUAU
rnacentral:sRNA from 1 species